UUUAAAUUAGCAUAAGAAACAAACAAAAUAACAGUAUUUAAACUGCAGUCGGUGGUCUAAGAGUCACUCUCAUCCUCUCUCUACAUCUUGCAACAUGAAGUUCGCUACAGCAGUCGUGAUCGCUAUCUACGCCAUGGUGGCAUAUGCCUCGGCCGCCGUGCCCAGGGAGGGCGGCGGCGGCGGCGGCGGCGGCGGUGGCGGCAGCUCCGACAGCUAAGUGUCAAGCUGACAUUUCAAGUACUGAGACCUGAAGACUAUCGUGCUGCCAUCUGCCAUCUUCUCGUCAACAAAGUUAAAUAAAUUAUUAAUGAUGUACUAGUACACAAAUAAAUAAUUUUAUUAAUUUGA